GUGCCAGCAGCCGCGGUAAUACGUAUGGGGCGAGCGUUGUUCGGAGUUAUUGGGCGUAAAGGGCGUGUAGGCGGCCCGAGAAGUCUGGUGUGAAAUCGCAGGGCUCAACCCUGCGGGUGCGCUGGAAACUGACGGGCUAGAGUCCCGGGGGGGAAGCUGGAAUUCCUGGUGUAGGAGUGAAAUCUGUAGAGAUCAGGAAGAACACCGGUGGCGAAGGCGAGCUUCUAUUCGAGGACUGACGCUGAGGCGCGAAAGCGUGGGGAGCAAACAGGAUUAGAUACCCUGGUAGUCCACGCUGUAAACGAUGUGCACUAGGCGUGGGGCACGUCGGUGCUCUGUGCCGUAGCUAACGCGAUAAGUGCACCGCCUGGGGAGUAUGCUCGCAAGGGUGAAACUCAAAUGAAUUGACGGGG
rnacentral:rRNA from 1 species